UACAGAGGUCUCAAGCGUUGUUCGGAUUCAUUGGGCGUAAAGGGUGCGUAGGCGGCGCGGUAAGUCGGGUGUGAAAUCUUGGAGCUUAACUCCGAAACUGCAUUCGAUACUGCCGUGCUUGAGGACUGGAGAGGAGACUGGAAUUUACGGUGUAGCGGUGAAAUGCGUAGAUAUCGUAAGGAAGACCAGUGGCGAAGGCGGCCUUCUGGACAGUGACUGACGCUGAGACGCGAAAGCGUGGGGAGCAAACAGG
rnacentral:rRNA from 1 species